UUUAUUGCCCCAUUCUCUACAUUUAGAUCUUUUUUUAUAUAUAUUAUAUUAAAUAAUUUAAUAUUAACGUUACUGUUAUAAACUUCAAGGCCCAUUUUGUACUAUGAAUUUAUAAUUUACUAAUUAAUUUUAAUUUUUUUUUACUUCAUUUCAUUGCCCCUGUAAAUAAAGAAUGUUAGUUUUAGUGCUUAAUACUGCUUAUGCAUACAUACCACAUUAGAUACUUCGAUUUUCCGGUCGCGCAAGAUUUUUUUUGGUUACCGGAACCGGUAGUAUUCGUGCGGCAGUAUUUAAGCCGAAAGCAGUGGUGAUUUCGUUCCAGUCUGGUUUUGUCUUCAAAAUCAGACACAAAAGGAUAAUCGGAGCCCUUUGUUUGUUCAAGGAUCGGAUAUCAGUUAAUUCUUUGGAUUUAUAUCAGUGCUUUUCUAUCGUCUUCAUGGAGUUCCAGCGUGUUGAGCAUAGGGAUAAUGUGGGCGUGGCAGGCCUUGAUGUCGAUGUUGUUGACAAUAAGUUUCGAAGGCUGGCUGCCUGGUCGUGCGGUUUGCACGCUGGACUGUCGUUCGGACUUAUCGAUGGUCCCGGGUUCAAACCCUGCCCGCUCCCAUCCCCCGUCGUCCUGCGGGAGGUUUGGACUAGGAAGUAAUUAUCUUCAACUCUGAAGGAACAUCCGAAAUAAGUAAAACAUUUUACAAGGCAUAUGACUGAUGUGAAGAACUUUUGCAGGAAGAUUACCCGCAGCUGGCACCUAGUUGCACCCUACUUGGAUAAAAAAAUUUCUAUCGAUGCUGCUGGCAAAAAGACACCUAUCCAAGUCCUAAGACAGCACUGAACGACCUAGUAUGGUGAAGAAGUUGCGACCUGAAGGUGAUGUUGAGGCUACUGAAAGGCCAGGUAACACAGAACAAAACUGUGCUUGUUGUUGCAGAAAAGCGGUUAGUCUUUUAAGGUAAUAACUUUUACAUUUUCUUUUGUAAAUUCAUUUUUAUAGUUUCAAAACAAUUCCUUUUUAGGUGUCUCAACCCUUUUGACAUUUAUUAUAUUUAUUAACAGGGCUUUUUGGCAAGAUGUUGACUGGACCGUGGAUGACACUAAUCUACAAAAUGAAAGAUGAAACAUUUUAAAGAUACCAUUUAUGCAGCUAUUAUAUUUAUUCUCUUGUUUUCUAGAUCUCUCAUGUGAAGGUCUGCAUUGACAAACUAAAGCCACUAAAGGCCAUUGUGGAUUCUCCAGAGAAUCUCCUUUCAAUACUAACUGAUUGCUUUGGCCAGACUCUGGAUACUGAAGAUCUCGUUCUGAAAACCCUGAGAAAUGUGACUGUUGAUGAAGUAUUUAUCGAGAUCACUAAAGAACUUGCUGAAGGUUUUUGUAAGGUGCUACAGAGACAGUACUUCAAUUGAUAAUUUCCAACAACAAACAAAUCCAUUAUGUGCUUACCCAUCAAAUAGUUAGAUAUAUUUUAUUUUAAUGGAACAUGUUUCAUAUCUGGGAUGUUAUUUAUUUAAUGUGAAAAAUAUAAUUUCACAAUACAGAUGAUAAUUGUGCUAUGAACCAUUUAUAUUAAGUCUUGAUAAUUUUACCUUUUCAGCAAGCCUACAUUGGUAUGCAUUAAAAGUAUUUAUUCUAUUUCAGCAAAACAGAUAGGGUACACCCAAACAAUGUUCAUCUUCAAACCAAUCAUGCAUGAUCCUCGCAAGCUUUGGAUACUGACGUACAUUUGCAAACGCACUCAGACUGAUGACAUCAAGAAAUCUAUAUUUGUUAUUUACAUUAUAUGUAAAUUUAAAUACUCUUUUUUUUUUAAAUUUGUUUUAAUUUUGUAAAUCUUGUAUAAUUAUCUCAAAAGUCUAGAUUAAAAUGUUACAGCUCUCAAA